UCACCAGUCAUGACCCAGGAUGCCAGUCCCUGUCUCUGGUUGGACGUCUCAGGCUGUCAAUCACUGACCUCUGUUUAUAUCCCGCCCCCACUUUUCCCAUCCUCAUACGGUCACUCUGCUCUGACCACGCCCACCACCUACCUCUCCUCCUCAACACCUGGAUGGAGCAGUAACUCCUCCCCCUCUGCUGAUUGGGUGUCACCUGUCAGUCUGUCAUGGCCGCAGCCAGAACAGCGUGAGUGUGUGAGUUGUGAGAUCAACAGUGCCCCCCUGUGGAGAAGAGACGCUGCUGGUAAUUACCUGUGUAACACCUGCAGCAUCCAACAGGAAGUCAGCAACAGACCCCUGCUGAGACCAAAGAGAAGAAGUGUGGUGACUCAGCGAAGAGGAAGUCAGUGUGUGAACUGUGACACAGAAACUACGACACUGUGGAGGAGAAACCCUGCAG